UUCUUAUACAACCCAGCACCACGUGCAGAGGCUUGGCGCUGCCACUGUGAUGAUGGAUCAUCAGGCUGGCAGCUCAUUCUCAACAGACUCAGGACCAGGGGUUCUUACAUGGUGCCUACUGCCUACCACCCUUGAUUGAAAUUUUAAGAUUAUUUGAAUCAAGAAAUGAAAACUAGAUUCCAUAACUAUUUUAGCUACUAUCUAGAAUAGGCAGAUCAUUCAAGGAACAGGAGUUAGAGAUGCUUCCCACAGUGGAUUCAGACAGAAGGGAAAUUAUAGCUGUCUUUAGCUGUGAUGACAUGGUCCAAGCUUCAUGAGUUUUAAUAAUGUCAGUUAAGACUGACUCAAGACAAUUCUGCAGACAUACCUUCUGGUCAACCUGAUUGAAGCAAUUCUUUGCUUGAAGCUUACUCCUUCCACAUGACUGUAGGUUGUGUCAAGUUAACAAACAUAACUAACCGAGACAGGCCCUGAGAUGUACAGGACAGGAAGGUUCACUGUUACUGUUCUUAUUUUGAUGGUGGUUCUUAGGUUUCACAAACUGCACCUGAAAGUGACAAACUGCACUGAGCUAUGAUCAAACUCUGGUUUGAAUUCUUCAUACACAUGAGACCAACACUUCUAGACACCAGACCUAUCACCUUGAUCUUGCACUUCCCUGUCUCCAGAACUGUGACAAAUGCACUUCUGUUGUUUAUAAAUUACUCAGUUUCGGGCAUUUUGUUGAAGAAGCAGGUCCUAAUGUGGCCCACCCACCAUAUAACAUGGAAGAGGCAGACGAGAAGUUGUAUUCCUUGAUGUGGGACUGUGAUAGGCAGCCUGUUUUGGUUGAAUGGGGCUUGUUCUGUUGACCCAGUAGAAAACUCUAC
rnacentral:lncRNA from 1 species